AGUUCCGGACUUUCUAAGCGACAGUCUCAAAGCAGUGGGCCUGUGACAAUGGGGGCGAGGCGACACUGGCGAUUUCAACAACGUUUGAGGGCUGCCCUCGCCGCCCCACGCCCCGAGUGUGACAACGAAGGUGCCAUGAGCCACACUGCGGGCCUGGGGCAGAAAACUCGCUACAACUCAACAAGGUGCUGGGAUCGAGGGUCCGCGAACCACAGGCCCAUGACCACCACCUGGAGAGCCCUGAAGACGUGCGGGUCCCCGGGCCCCUCCAGCCCCGGAAUCUGGACCCCUGAAAGCUUCCCGGGCGGGACGCCUCGGGUUGUUUGCGUCUGAUUAAACGCUCCUACCGGAAACUUCACCUCCCAGCGUGUGGCUGGAGGGAAGGAGCAGCAGAGACUGCUGGUGGAUUAUUGCUAAGACGCUGCUUCACCUCCAGACUGGGCAGGAGAACGUCAUUGCCGCCCGGCCCCCGGGAGAGCGCCUGCGAGCACACAGGCCUUCCAGCCAGCGCUGCUCCCCGCCCGUGAGCGCCCUCCCGGACGCACAUAUUGAUGGGUUAGAGAGCUUUGGGUCCAGGGGGAAAGAAGGGCCAGCAGGGGAUGCUUUCCACCCUGCAUACGGAGCGUGGGGUCAGGCAGAGACCUGGAAGUCAGGCUGGGGUGGGCGUGGGCCCGCCCCGGCGAGGACAGAUGACCAGCGGGACUGCCGCCUGAGGACCCUCGUGGGUGCCCAAACCCCGCCCAGCCCUCUGGGGUGCCCAAGACCUGCUCCCCCCAGACGCUCUCCAGGCAGAGCAGCUCCUAGCCCGCCACCGGCAGCUUCACCUCAGACCUGGGGUCUCAGAGGCAGCGUCACCGUCCCGGGCAGCAUCUCCCCACAACCCUGAGUGCAGUGAAGGCGGCUCCCGCGCCCUCAGUGGUCUGCUUCCCCGGGGACACAGCCCAUGGCCCUGCCGCAGCCUGGGGAUGCCACACCGCUCUCUCCGUGCAGACCCCGCUCCCUCAAGGAGGUCAGGCCCUCUGUCCUCACCCCACACAGCUCGCCGGUCCCUGGAGAGUAAGGAACAGCUGCCCGAGGCCGGCCCAUGCCCACCCCAGCCCCUGCUCAGGGGCCACUCCAGGCCUGACCGCUCGCCACCUCCCGUGCCGCCACGCCAAGCUUUCCUGGUCAGCGACAGUGCUGUCCCCGACCCUCCGGUCCAUGCCACCCCCUGCUCCUGCCUCCACUAGGUGACUCUGGAAGUCAGGUGCGCUCAGGGGUGCACUGCAGGGACACCUCCUCGGCAGCAGCAUGUGGGCAGCACGAACACGGGGUGACACGGCAUGGGGCCCCUUGCGUCUCAACAGCCACGACUUCUUCUGAUACAGAAAACAAUCCACCUAAUUGUAGAUUAGGUACAAUUAUAACUAGAAGUGAGUGCUCGCUUCUAGUUAUGCACUGAGACGUGCAUGUAACACACCACACACACACACACACACACACACGCACACAUGCACACAUGCACACGCACAGGCACGCAGAGGCUGGAAAGUCUGCCUGUUUGCUACAGUUUCCUGUUUACUGCAGUUCACAUUUCUGCCUGUUUGACGUUCUCUUAGUCUCAGUCAUUUGUAUGCAGUGCUUGAGGAAAACAGAAUGCCCAGGAUGUGAAGUGUGAUGGCCAAGAGCCUGCUUUGACAAAGCUUGUCACAGAGGCCCCGGAAGCAUCUAGAGUUCAGAGGAGCCAUUGCUAAUUAAGUCUGACAGUUUCCCCUUCCUGGGGAGUGCCCAGCGUGUCCCCGCAGAAACGCCGCGUGCAAAAUCUCCAUCCUCAGGGAGCCGCAGCAUACGGUUUCCUUCUGCUCCUCAGAGAUUCAUAAAAUCAACUGAAAACACCUUUGCAAAUGGUAAAGAAAAAAGGCAAACAGCGGAGCAAAACGUCAGACAGAGUGGUUAUGUCCCAAGGCGCUUCCUUCCAAUUCUGCGAGGCUCAGUGUGAAAGGAGUGCUGCCCAGUGCCCCGGGAAGCUUGUUCAGUGCACUCACACCUGGAUUUCAGCAGACCUGGUGGAUUACCUGCAGAGAAUUAGCGAUGUCACCAUUAAUUAUGCAACUGACAACAAUGGAUUUGGAGAUACGGGAAAGCAUGUCAUGAAUGUUUCAACCACUGUGUCCUCAAGACUCCAUCAUCUUUAAGUACAUCAGCCAUCAUCGCCAGGACCUCUUCCCCUCACGAAGAGGCCUCGGAGGUGGACUCAACCCACAGGACUUCGGCUGGUGGGUAGAGGGGUGAGCACCCGGGAGUGGGAGCCACACGCUUACGUGCCUGGGUGCAUUUGGCAUUAUUUAUUGUCUGCAUUUCUUUUCUUUUAGUAAAGGGAUUAAAAAUUGC